rnacentral:rRNA from 1 species
AACGAACGCUGGCGGCAGGCUUAACACAUGCAAGUCGAGCGCCCCGCAAGGGGAGCGGCAGACGGGUGAGUAACACGUGGGAACCUUCCUAGAGGUACGGAACAACUCAGGGAAACUUGAGCUAAUACCGUAUACGCUCUGGCGAGGAAAGAUUUAUCGCCUUUAGACGGGCCCGCGUCGGAUUAGCUAGUUGGUGGGGUAACGGCCUACCAAGGCGACGAUCCGUAGCUGAUCUGAGAGGAUGAUCAGCCACACUGGGACUGAGACACGGCCCAGACUCCUACGGGAGGCAGCAGUGGGGAAUCUUGGACAAUGGGCGCAAGCUUGAUCCAGCCAUGCCGCGUGAGUGAAGAAGGCCUUAGGGUUGUAAAGCUCUUUCAGUGGGAAAGAUAAUGACGGUACCCACAGAAGAAGCCCCGGCUAACUUCGUGCCAGCAGCCGCAGUAAGAC